CCUACGGGAGGCAGCAGUGGGGGAUAUUGCACAAUGGGGGGAACCCUGAUGCAGCGACGCCGCGUGGGUGAAGGAGUGCUUCGGCAUGUAAAGCCCUAUCGGCAGGGAAGAAGCAAGACGGUACCUGACUAAGAAGCCCCGGCUAACUACGUGCCAGCAGCCGCGGUAAUACGUAGGGGGCGAGCGUUAUCCGGAUUCACUGGGUGUAAAGGGAGCGUAGACGGCCAUGCAAGCCAGGGGUGAAAGCCCGGGGCCCAACCCCGGGACUGCCCUUGGCACGGGGCGGCUAGAGUGCGGGAGGGGCAGGCGGAAUUCCUGGUGUAGCGGUGAAAUGCGUAGAUAUCAGGAGGAACACCGGCGGCGAAGGCGGCCUGCUGGACUGCGACUGACGUUGAGGCUCGAAAGCGUGGGGAGCGAACAGGAUUAGAUACCCUGGUAGUC
rnacentral:rRNA from 1 species